UUAAGUAAGGAAGGGCGUACGGCGAAUGCCUUGCCACUCGAAACUGAAGAAGGACGCGCCAAACUGCGAAAAGCUCCGUGAAGCUGUAAGGAAGCGAAGAAGCGGAGGUGUCCGAAUGGGGGAACCCGGCAGCAGACAUGAGCUGUCAUCUGCAGGUGAAUACAUGGCCUGCAAGAGAGGUACCCGGCGAACUGAAACAUCUAAGUAGCCGGAGGAAAAGAAAACAACAGUGAUUCCCUGAGUAGCGGCGAGCGAAAGGGGAGAAGCCCAAACCGGUCCGAGGGCCGGGGUUGAAGGACCAUGAUAUGGCAAGAACGAGGAUAGGAGAACGGGAUCGAAAGCCCGGCCGAAGAAGGUGAAAGCCCUGUAACCGAAAUCCAAGGGAAGCCUAAUGGGAUCCUGAGUACGGCGAGACACGAGAAAUCUUGUCGGAAGCAGGCGGGACCAUCCGCCAAGGCUAAAUAUAAACGAGUGAGCGAUAGUGAACCAGUACCGUGAGGGAAAGGUGAAAAGAACCGCGGGAGCGGAGUGAAAGAGAACCUGAAACCGUAUGCCUACAAGAAGUCAGAGCCCGUUAAGGGGUGAUGGCGUGCCUUUUGUAGAAUGAACCGGCGAGUUGCGACAGACUGCGAGGUUAAGGAGGAAAGACCGGAGCCGAAGCGAAAGCGAGUCUUAAUAGGGCGAAAGUAGGAUGUUGCAGACCCGAAACCGGGUGAUCUAGCCAUGAGCAGGUUGAAGUUGAGGUGAAACUCAAUGGAGGACCGAACCGACUACCGUUGAAAAGUUAGCGGAUGACUUGUGGCUAGGGGAGAAAUUCCAAUCGAACCCGGAGAUAGCUGGUUCUCCCCGAAAUAGCUUUAGGGCUAGCGUCGGAAAGAACCUUAGUGAAGGUAGAGCACUGAAUGUGUGAUGGCCCCAUCCCGGGGUACUGAAUACAAUCAAACUGCGAAUGUCAUUAAGGAUGUCCGGCAGUCAGACUGUGAGUGAUAAGGUCCAUGGUCAAGAGGGAAACAGCCCAGACCGCCAGUUAAGGUCCCAAAAUACAGGCUAAGUGGAAAAGGAUGUGGGGAUGCCCAGACAACUAGGAGGUUGGCUCAGAAGCAGCCAUCCUUUAAAGAGUGCGUAACAGCUCACUAGUCGAGUGACCCUGCGCCGAAAAUGUACCGGGGCUAAGCCUGAUACCGAAACUGCGGAUUGUAGGAAACUAUAGUGGUAGGGGAGCGUUGUAUACGAGCAGAAGCCGUACCGUGAGGAGCGGUGGAUUGUAUAGAAGUGAGAAUGCCGGUGUGAGUAGCGAGAUGUAGGUGAGAAUCCUACACACCGAAAGCCCAAGGAUUCCAGGGGAAGGUUCGUCCGCCCUGGGUAAGUCGGGACCUAACGCGAGGCCGAAAGGCGUAGUGGAUGGAAAGCAGGCGAAAGAUUCCUGCACCCGUAUAUGGAGCGAAGGAGUGACGGAGACGGAUAGUGUGACCCUCUUAAUGGAUUGAGGGCGAAGCGAAGCGGCUGGUUACCAGGCAAAUCCGGUAACCUUAAGGCUAGAGCGUGACAGGUAAGCGAAAUCUUAGGAAAGUAGCGAAGCACAUGAUGACGGCUUCCAGGAAAAGCUUCUGGCAAUGCAUAUGCGGCCCGUACCAAAACCGACACAGGUGGGCAGGGAGAGAAUCCCGAGGUGAGCGAGAGAACUGUUGCCAAGGAACUCGGCAAAAUGACUCCGUAAGUUAGCGAGAAGGAGUGCUUAAGCAAUUAAGCCGCAGUGAAGAGGCCCAAGCGACUGUUUAACUAAAACACAGCUCUCUGCGAAGUCGCAAGACGAAGUAUAGGGGGUGACACCUGCCCGGUGCUGGAAGGUUAAGAGGAUCUGUUAAGAGCGAUCUGAAGCAGUGAUCCGAAGCCCCAGUGAACGGCGGCCGUAACUAUAACGGUCCUAAGGUAGCGAAAUUCCUUGUCAGGUAAGUUCUGACCCGCACGAAAGGUGUAACGAUUUGGGCGCUGUCUCGGCAGCAGACUCGGUGAAAUCUUAGUACCUGUGAAAAUGCAGGUUACCCGCAACUAGACGGAAAGACCCCAUGGAGCUUUACUGCAGCCUGAUAUUGAAUUCUGGUCAUACAUGUACAGGAUAGGUGGGAGACAAAGAGACGUGCACGCCAGUGUACGAGGAGUCGGCGUUGGGAUACCACUCUUGUGUGACCGGGGUUCUAACCUGGUAUCGAGAACAGGUACGGGGAGAGUGUCAGGUGGGCAGUUUGACUGGGGCGGUCGCCUCCCAAAGAGUAACGGAGGCGCCCAAAGGUUCCCUCAGAAUGGUUGGAAAUCAUUCGUAGAGUGUAAUGGCAGAAGGGAGCUUAACUGCGAGACCUACAAGUCAAGCAGAUGCGAAAGCAGGGCAUAGUGAUCUUGCGAUCCCGAAUGGAAGGGUCGUUGCUUAACGGAUAAAAGUUACCCCGGGGAUAACAGGCUGAUCCCACCCAAUAGUUCAUAUAGACGGUGGGGUUUGGCACCUCGAUGUCGGCUCGUCGUAUCCUGGAGGUGGAAUCGCUUCCAAGGGUUGGGCUGUUCGCCCAUUAAAACGGCACGCGAGCUGGGUUCAGAACGUCGUGAGACAGUUCGGUCUCUAUCCGUAGUGGGCGUUAGAAAAUUGAGGAGUGCUUUUCCUAGUACGAGAGGACCGGAAAGGACGAACCGAUGGUGUAUCUGUUGUCACGCCAGUGGCAGUGCAGAGUAGCUAUGUUCGGAAGGGAUAAUCGCUGAAGGCAUCUAAGCGUGAAGCCCUCUCCAAGAUGAGUUUUCUUUAUCUUCAAGAUAUAAGAUCCCUUGUAGACGACAAGGUUGAUAGGUUAGAUGUGUAAGCAUAGUGAUAUGUUGAGCUGACUAAUACUAAUAGAUCGACAAUUUAAUCAU
rnacentral:rRNA from 1 species